ACUGUAGGGGAUCAUUGAGGAUUCAGUGGAGGCACAUCCAUCAACUAUCACUUUUAUUAUUCAAAAUACAGGAGACGGAGGAGGUACGAAUUAGAACCGAGGGUCGACUGCCUGAGAUCAGUUUCACGAAGAACGAUGAAAAGAAGUGACCACUCCACUAUGAUUGUCAACUCUCUCCUGACAUGAACUGAAGCCACGUCUCAUGUUCCCGCUCAUCCACUGUUACAUUUAAUGUUUCCUCUCCAAGCACUUCAAAUCCUGUCCUGCACUGAAGUCAAGCCUCCACUGGUCUCUGCCCUUGAAUGUCUGCAUUGGACAUCACUUGGCCUUCAUGGAGCAGCCAUGUACCACCACCCUCUCAAUAUAUCAUUAGUCAAAUGCAGGCUAUACCACGCCAGAGUUCUAUCCAAAUAUAAAGAUGGCAAGCUUAGUUCGGCAACUUUUGAUCAUCUUACAUGAGAUUUUAACUACAGUCAGACAUUAUUAUGAGGUAAAUAUAAUGUAACCUACCUUUGUGAUGUCAUACAUGCUCACAUGGGAGACAAAUACAGUUGAACUUUCUUCGGGUGUUUAAUUUUCCCAUUGAGACCAAGGUGUCUUCUGCAAGGGAGCCCUGCAUCUUACAAUUAAACAACAAAUUACACAU